GUGUGCUGCUGUCCCCCUCCCACCUCGUCUCUCCCCACAGGGCAAGGCUGGCCAGGCUGGGCAGACGGGACAGCGAGGGCCCCCGGGCCUGCCGGGGGAGCGAGGGCUGCCCGGCCCCACAGGGAAACCCGGCCCAAAGGGGGAUCCUGGCCACGACGGGGCCCCCGGCGUUGUGGGGGAAAAGGGCCCUCAAGGUCCGCAGGGUCCCCACGGCUUCCCAGGCACCAAAGGGCCCCCUGUAAGUUUUUUUUUGGGGGGGGGGCAGCGGGAUUUUGGCAUGUCCCCCUGCCCUCCCCUCCAUAACCCCCUGCUCCUGCCUAGGGCCCCCCCGGGAAGGACGGCUUGCCGGGACACCCAGGACAGCGUGGCG
rnacentral:lncRNA from 1 species